AACGAACGCUGGCGGCAUGCCUAACACAUGCCAGUCGAACGAGACCUUCGGGUCUAGUGGCGCACGGGUGCGUAACGCGUGGGAACCUGCCCUUAGGUUCGGAAUAACUCCCCGAAAGGGGUGCUAAUACCGGAUAAUGUCUUCGGACCAAAGAUUUAUCGCCUUUGGAUGGGCCCGCGUUGGAUUAGCUAGUUGGUAGGGUAAAAGCCUACCAAGGCGACGAUCCAUAGCUGGUCUGAGAGGAUGAUCAGCCACACUGGGACUGAGACACGGCCCAGACUCCUACGGGAGGCAGCAGUGGGGAAUAUUGGACAAUGGGCGAAAGCCUAAUCCAGCAAUGCCGCGUGAGUGAUGAAGGCCUUAGGGUUGUAAAGCUCUUUUACCCGGGAUGAUAAUGACAGUACCGGGAGAAUAAGCUCCGGCUAACUCCGUG
rnacentral:rRNA from 1 species